AUUGAACGCUGGCGGCAGGCCUAACACAUGCAAGUCGAACGAGUGGCGGACGGGUGAGUAAUGUCUGGGAAACUGCCUGAUGGAGGGGGAUCACUACUGGAAACGGUAGCUAAUACCGCAUACCAUCGGAUGUGCCCAGAUGGGAUUCGCUAGUAGGUGGGGUACAGGCUCACCUAGGCGACGAUCCCUAGCUGGUCUGAGAGGAUGACCAGCCACACUGGAACGGAGACACGGGCCAGACUCCUACGGGAGGCAGCAGUGGGGAAUAUUGCACAAUGGGCGCAAGCCUGAUGCAGCCAUGCCGCGUGUAGGAAGAAGGCCUUCGGGUUGGAAAGUACUUUCAGCGGGGAGGCGUUACCCGCAGAAGAAGCACCGGCUAACUCCGUGCCAGCAGCCGCGGUAAUAC
rnacentral:rRNA from 1 species